AGUGAACGCUGGCGGUAGGCCUAACACAUGCAAGUCGAACGGCAGCACAGUAAGAUCUUGCUCUUACGGGUGGCGAGUGGCGGACGGGUGAGGAAUACAUCGGAAUCUACUUUUUCGUGGGGGAUAACGUAGGGAAACUUACUCUAAUACCGCAUACGACCUACGGUUGAAAGCAGUGGAUCUUCGGACCUUGCGCGAUUGAAUGAGCCGAUGUCGGAUUAGCUAGUUGGCGGGGUAAAGGCCCACCAAGGCGACGAUCCGUAGCUGGUCUGAGAGGAUGAUCAGCCACCCUGGAACUGAGACACGGUCCAGACUCCUACGGGAGGGAGCAGUGGGGAAUAUUGGACAAUGGGCGCAAGCCUGAUCCAGCCAUACCGCGUGGGUGAAGAAGGCCUUCGGGUUGUAAAGCCCUUUUGUUGGGAAAGAAAAGCAGCAGGUUAAUACCCCGCUGUUCUGACGGUACCCAAAGAAUAAGCACCGGCUAACUUCGUG
rnacentral:rRNA from 1 species